AAUGGAGAGUUUGAUCCUGGCUCAGGAUGAACGCUAGCUACAGGCUUAACACAUGCAAGUCGAGGGGAAACGGCAUUGAGUGCUUGCACUCUUUGGACGUCGACCGGCGCACGGGUGAGUAACGCGUAUCCAACCUUCCCAUUACUGUGGGAUAACCUGCCGAAAGGCAGACUAAUACCGCAUAGUCUUCGAUGACGGCAUCAGAUUUGAAGUAAAGAUUUAUCGGUAAUGGAUGGGGAUGCGUCUGAUUAGCUUGUUGGCGGGGUAACGGCCCACCAAGGCAACGAUCAGUAGGGGUUCUGAGAGGAAGGUCCCCCACAUUGGAACUGAGACACGGUCCAAACUCCUACGGGAGGCAGCAGUGAGGAAUAUUGGUCAAUGGACGGAAGUCUGAACCAGCCAAGUAGCGUGCAGGAUGACGGCCCUAUGGGUUGUAAACUGCUUUUGUAUGGGGAUAAAGUUAGGGACGUGUCCCUAUUUGCAGGUACCAUACGAAUAAGGACNNNNNNNNNNCCGGAUUUAUUGGGUUUAAAGGGAGCGUAGGCUGGAGAUUAAGUGUGUUGUGAAAUGUAGACGCUCAACGUCUGAAUUGCAGCGCAUACUGGUUUCCUUGAGUACGCACAACGUUGGCGGAAUUCGUCGUGUAGCGGUGAAAUGCUUAGAUAUGACGAAGAACUCCGAUUGCGAAGGCAGCUGACGGGAGCGCAACUGACGCUUAAGCUCGAAGGUGCGGGUAUCGAACAGGAUUAGAU
rnacentral:rRNA from 1 species